rnacentral:rRNA from 1 species
AUGUUUCCGUUCAGUUUCAAGAGGAAACAGUUUCCAGUCAAACUCAGUUUUGCAAUGACAAUAAAUAAAUCACAAGGCCAAACAAUACCAAAUGUUGGCAUCUACCUGCCUGAACCGAUUUUCUCACAUGGUCAGCUAUAUGUUGCGCUAUCAAGAGCAACUGCAACAUCAAACAUAAAGGCGCUAACAGGUACACAUGAUAGAAGAAAAAAAAGGAAAAGGAAGACCAAUACAUGCGAGACAUAUACGAAAAAUAUUGUCUACAGGGAAGUCCUAACAAAAUAG